rnacentral:rRNA from 1 species
UACGGAGGGGGUUAGCGUUGUUCGGAAUUACUGGGCGUAAAGCGCACGUAGGCGGCGUGGUAAGUUGGGUGUGAAAUCCCUCGGCUCAACCGAGGAACUGCGCCCAAAACUACCAUGCUUGAGGAAGAUAGAGGUAAGCGGAACUUACGGUGGAGCGGUGAAAUGCGUUGAUAUCGUAAGGAACACCUGUGGCGAAAGCGGCUUACUGGGUCUUUUCUGACGCUGAUGCACGAAAGCCAGGGGAGCAAACGGG